GGAAAACAUAUGAACUCCAUGGAUGGAAGGAAUCCAUGGAUGAAAAGCCAUCAUACCUUGAUUACAAAUCUCACAAAUUCUUGAGGAAUGGAGACUUGACCUUGAUCCUAGCUCCAACUCUUUCUUCUUCUUCAAGUUCUAGAGAGAGAAAUAUUUGAGAGGAAGACUUUGGGAUUUCUUUUGGGUUUUGGGAAUAAUGACUUGAAUGGGUGAGUUUUGGGGUUAAAAUGAC
rnacentral:lncRNA from 1 species